rnacentral:piRNA from 1 species
UACUCAGGAGGCUGAGACAGGAGAAUUGC